CGAAAGCCUGACGGAGCAACGCCGCGUGUGGGAAGAAGGCCUUUGGGUUGUAAACCCCUUUUCUCAGGGAAGAAACCUGACGGUACCUGAGGAAUCAGCCUCGGCUAACUCCGUGCCAGCAGCCGCGGUAAUACGGAGGAGGCAAGCGUUAUUCGGAAUUAUUGGGCGUAAAGCGUCCGCAGGGGGCUCAUCAAGUCUGCUGUCAAAGGUCGGAGCUCAACUCCGGUUCGGCAGUGGAAACUGGUGGGCUAGAGGGCGACAGGGGUAGAGGGAAUUCCCAGUGUAGCGGUGAAAUGCGUAGAGAUUGGGAAGAACACCGGUGGCGAAAGCGCUCUACUGGGUCGCACCUGACCCUCAGGGACGAAAGCUAAGGUAGCG
rnacentral:rRNA from 1 species